GGUUAAGUUAGAAAGGGCGCACGGUGGAUGCCUUGGCACUAGGAGCCGAUGAAGGACGGGACGAACACCGAUAUGCUUCGGGGAGCUGUAAGCAAGCUUUGAUCCGGAGAUUUCCGAAUGGGGAAACCCACCACUCGUAAUGGAGUGGUAUCCAUAUCUGAAUUCAUAGGAUAUGAGAAGGCAGACCCGGGGAACUGAAACAUCUAAGUACCCGGAGGAAGAGAAAGCAAAUGCGAUUCCCUGAGUAGCGGCGAGCGAAACGGGAUUAGCCCAAACCAAGAGGCUUGCCUCUUGGGGUUGUAGGACACUCUGUACGGAGUUACAAAAGAACGAGGUAGAUGAAGAGGUCUGGAAAGGCCCGCCAUAGGAGGUAACAGCCCUGUAGUCAAAACUUCGUUCUCUCCUGAGUGGAUCCUGAGUACGGCGGAACACGUGAAAUUCCGUCGGAAUCCGGGAGGACCAUCUCCCAAGGCUAAAUACUCCCUAGUGACCGAUAGUGAACCAGUACCGUGAGGGAAAGGUGAAAAGCACCCCGGAAGGGGAGUGAAAGAGAUCCUGAAACCGUGUGCCUACAAGUAGUCAGAGCCCGUUANNAUGAGUACGUGGUCGUAGACCCGAAACCAGGUGAUCUACCCAUGUCCAGGGUGAAGUUCAGGUAACACUGAAUGGAGGCCCGAACCCACGCACGUUGAAAAGUGCGGGGAUGAGGUGUGGGUAGGGGUGAAAUGCCAAUCGAACCUGGAGAUAGCUGGUUCUCUCCGAAAUAGCUUUAGGGCUAGCCUCAAGGUAAGAGUCUUGGAGGUAGAGCACUGAUUGGACUAGGGGCCCCUACCGGGUUACCGAAUUCAGUCAAACUCCGAAUGCCAAUGACUUAUCCUUGGGAGUCAGACUGCGAGUGAUAAGAUCCGUAGUCGAAAGGGAAACAGCCCAGACCGCCAGCUAAGGUCCCAAAGUAUACGUUAAGUGGAAAAGGAUGUGGAGUUGCUUAGACAACCAGGAUGUUGGCUUAGAAGCAGCCACCAUUUAAAGAGUGCGUAAUAGCUCACUGGUCGAGUGACUCUGCGCCGAAAAUGUACCGGGGCUAAACGUAUCACCGAAGCUGCGGACUGUUCUUCGAACAGUGGUAGGAGAGCGUUCUAAGGGCUGUGAAGCCAGACCGGAAGGACUGGUGGAGCGCUUAGAAGUGAGAAUGCCGGUAUGAGUAGCGAAAGAGGGGUGAGAAUCCCCUCCACCGAAUGCCUAAGGUUUCCUGAGGAAGGCUCGUCCGCUCAGGGUUAGUCGGGACCUAAGCCGAGGCCGAAAGGCGUAGGCGAUGGACAACAGGUUGAUAUUCCUGUACCACCUCCUCACCAUUUGAGCAAUGGGGGGACGCAGGAGGAUAGGGUAAGCGCGGUAUUGGAUAUCCGCGUCCAAGCAGUUAGGCUGGGAAAUAGGCAAAUCCGUUUCCCAUAAGGCUGAGCUGUGAUGGCGAGCGAAAUAUAGUAGCGAAGUUCCUGAUUCCACACUGCCAAGAAAAGCCUCUAGCGAGGUGAGAGGUGCCCGUACCGCAAACCGACACAGGUAGGCGAGGAGAGAAUCCUAAGGUGAUCGAGAGAACUCUCGUUAAGGAACUCGGCAAAAUGACCCCGUAACUUCGGGAGAAGGGGUGCUCUGUUAGGGUGCAAGCCCGAGAGAGCCGCAGUGAAUAGGCCCAGGCGACUGUUUAGCAAAAACACAGGUCUCUGCGAAGCCGUAAGGCGAAGUAUAGGGGCUGACGCCUGCCCGGUGCUGGAAGGUUAAGAGGAGCGCUUAGCGUAAGCGAAGGUGCGAAUUGAAGCCCCAGUAAACGGCGGCCGUAACUAUAACGGUCCUAAGGUAGCGAAAUUCCUUGUCGGGUAAGUUCCGACCCGCACGAAAGGCGCAACGAUCUGGGCACUGUCUCAACGAGAGACUCGGUGAAAUUAUAGUACCUGUGAAGAUGCAGGUUACCCGCGACAGGACGGAAAGACCCCGUGGAGCUUUACUGCAGCCUGAUAUUGAAUGUUGGUACAGCUUGUACAGGAUAGGUAGGAGCCUUGGAAACCGGAGCGCCAGCUUCGGUGGAGGCAUCGGUGGGAUACUACCCUGGCUGUAUUGACCUUCUAACCCGCCGCCCUUAUCGGGCGGGGAGACAGUGUCAGGUGGGCAGUUUGACUGGGGCGGUCGCCUCCUAAAAGGUAACGGAGGCGCCCAAAGGUUCCCUCAGAAUGGUUGGAAAUCAUUCGCAGAGUGUAAAGGCACAAGGGAGCUUGACUGCGAGACCUACAAGUCGAGCAGGGACGAAAGUCGGGCUUAGUGAUCCGGUGGUUCCGCAUGGAAGGGCCAUCGCUCAACGGAUAAAAGCUACCCCGGGGAUAACAGGCUUAUCUCCCCCAAGAGUCCACAUCGACGGGGAGGUUUGGCACCUCGAUGUCGGCUCAUCGCAUCCUGGGGCUGUAGUCGGUCCCAAGGGUUGGGCUGUUCGCCCAUUAAAGCGGUACGCGAGCUGGGUUCAGAACGUCGUGAGACAGUUCGGUCCCUAUCCGUCGCGGGCGCAGGAAAUUUGAGAGGAGCUGUCCUUAGUACGAGAGGACCGGGAUGGACGCACCGCUGGUGUACCAGUUGUUCUGCCAAGGGCAUCGCUGGGUAGCUAUGUGCGGACGGGAUAAGUGCUGAAAGCAUCUAAGCAUGAAGCCCCCCUCAAGAUGAGAUUUCCCAUUCCGCAAGGAAGUAAGAUCCCUGAAAGAUGAUCAGGUUGAUAGGUCUGAGGUGGAAGUGUGGCGACACAUGGAGCUGACAGAUACUAAUCGAUCGAGGACUUAACCAC
rnacentral:rRNA from 1 species